rnacentral:piRNA from 1 species
GAGUUUGUGGAGCCCUUUCUGAAG